ACGAAUCUUGAGGCAGACAACAGUCGUCUUCUACCUCAGACUAAAGUACCAAAAUAAUUCCCCCAUCUCUCUCUCCUCUCCCUUUCCACUUCCCAGUCCGGCAGUCCCUACCUCCCCUGGCUCCCUUCUCUAUGGCCGGAGGCCCAAUCUCCAGCACGGAAACAUGGUUCGUCGCCUCUUCCUCCUCCUCAUUGUCACGUCGCGGGAUGCAACAUGAUGCUGUAGCAGCAAUGCGACGAAAAAGUUCAGCGAGCUCGCCGCCUCCUGCAAGUGGAACCUUCCCUGGCUAAGAAGGAGGAAGGAAGGUGGGAAGUGGAGAGGAGAGAGAAAGGGAAAGUUUGGCACUCUGCACUUGAGCUCAGGUAGAAGAUGACUACGUUAAAAUUCGUGUGGAGACGUGUCACUCAAGAUGACAAGUCUUUCUGGAUGAGCGAAGGACCGAGGUCUUGUAUAAUUUUCUUCCGCGGGCGGCGGCUACGGCCAUGGAGAUCUCGCGACUCGCGGGUCGCGGCCAUGUGCCGGUGAGGUCGGCUGCUUCGCCGGCGUCUCCGCCUCCGCAUCUACGCCUGAUUGAUCCCCCCCAACCUAUCUCCACUGUGCUAUCGCGUUUCUUGCGGACUUGCGGAGGUUGUGGUUGAGGCAGUAGCCUGUGGGGCGGUGAUGCGGCGCCGAGAUCCCGCUCGUCCACGGAUUUCCGGUCGCCAUCGCCGGGAUUCGUCUUCUCCGGCCAACCCCUCGCCGCGCCGCCCGUCCUCGGCCAGGAUCUGGUCGGGAUCGCUUGUGGAUGAAUAGCGGCAUGGCAACCCAAGGGCCAAGGCCAGAGCACUAGGGCCUAGAGCCGCAGGAGUGGAGCUAGAGCGAAACAGAGGGUGGUGCCACUUGCUUAAUUUACUCUACUUUAGAUCAAGUUUAAGCUGAUACGGGUGCUUAAGUUUGUAUUGAGGAGGGUGCAUACAUGGUGAAAAUAGGUAAGGGGGACGUUGAGUUGUAAGAACUAAGAAGACCAGAUGCAUCUGCUCAGAUUUUACAGGCCUGUAUAACCAGUUAACGAGUGGCAAAAAAAAUGUCUCGCGGCCGUGUCUGAUACAUAACUUUGCCAGGAGAUCUAUCUGUUGAUGCACACAGGCUGCCAUGGCAUUGUUACCCAGUUGCUCUUACAUGCAUUUCUGCUGGCAUAAGAUGGUGGAGGUUCUGUUGUUGAACCUGGAACACAACCGGUGCUCAGAAGAAUUUUGUAUCACUACAACCUAUCAGGAUUUGAUCGAACAAUUUGGUAUGUUCAUACACAUUUGAGCAAUUGUACAGUACUCCGAAGUUGGUGUUUUCUAUCAUCUGGUAAUUGUGGAUCACUGGCAUAUCGAGGAAUUGUGGAUCACUGACAUAUGGAGGAAUUGUGGAUCACUGGCAUAUUGAGGAAUCAACCUGACAUAUAAUAUUCAGGGUGUCUUUUGUAUACGUGGAGACUGUUGUGUAUGCCAUUUUUCUGGAAUGUCAUGUAAUAUCAACGUAUCCGUAUCGCCGUACCAGUAUCACGUAUCCGUGCAUCACAAAUAGCCAUAUUAUUUUCUAUAUCGAUAUUUAUGAUUAAAUUGAGUUAAGAAUUUCUUUUGUUGUGCGGAUAACUGCACUGAUUGCAAAUCUGCCAAUGAGUACUA